CAUUUUUCAUGUCACUACCGAAACAGUGCAUGUUUUAGUCUGAUUUUAACUAAACCCAUACAUUUAUGAUCAGGAAAUAUUUCUGUAUCCCUCUCUCUCAAAGCUACAAGGUGCGAGUAGAUAGGUCUCAUCAUUUUGAGGUAAAUGUGUUCAAAAGUAUGACAAAUCUGUGUGUAACUUUAAGGAACGUCACUACCGAACACCUUUUUUCUGCAGUUAAGCACUUUUUUGGGAGUUUUUCCAUAACAUUUAGUUUUCAUAUGAGUAUCACUGUUCAGAACUGUGCUAGCUAACCAUGUGCUGAUUAGCAUCUCUGAGCUAAGUUCAAAAGUAUCUAAAAUUGUCAUUACCGAAACAGUUAGGUGGAGUUUCGGUAGUGACAUCUUUGGGUUUUUGGGUGUUAUCCCAUAGAAUUGUAACUACCGAAACUGUCACGACCGAAACAUGUCAUCAUUGUUUUGAUAAUGACAAAAGGGAACACAUAAUAAACACAAUACAAUCAUGCAAUUUUUUUUUUAUUGUAGUAUGUUUUAGUUCAUGAGUUCACGAGUUAAGAUUCUGUAAGGUAAUGUGGUCGCUACCAAAACAUUUCUGCCACUAUCAAAAAUGUGCUGUCACUACCAAAACAUGGGAUGUUUUGUCAAAAAUAAAGUAUACUGAAUUAUCAAAUAAGAUGUUAUGAUAGUUUCUGGUUGAAACCUUAACUUUGAAAUCAGUUUGAUCAACUUUUUGCCUUUUACAAAGAAAAACUGGAUUCAAAAUACAACAAAUCUCAUAAAUUGCACUUGAAAUAUUGUUAAAAAUGUAUUUGUUAUUGAUUUACCUCUUAUUUUUUUAGAAAAUAGCAAAUAUAUAUAUAUAUUAUAAGUAAGCAAAGUAGAUGUAAGCAAAAUCUUAAUAGGUCAAUAUAACCCUUCUAAUAAAUUAUUAUUACUGUGUUUCGGUAGUGACAAAUUUAGGGAGAGGACAAAUAUUCCAAAACCUUUAACUGCACAAUUACUAGAAAUGUGUACCUUAGAUAUUAUACAAUAUGCAUACAUACACAUUUUUUGGGAAAAAUACAUUUUUUUCAAGACAUUUCCAACGCUGGCUUUGGACUAAUUCUGUAGAAUGGCCCAUAAAUAAUUAAUUUUAGUCCAGACCUCUGCUGGGAAGAGACCGUACCUCCUGGAACUUUAAUUGAAUACCCCUGACUUGUAUUGUACCCCUGACUUGACUGGAUGUACAUUAACCUUACAAAGCAUAUCAUUGUUAAGUUCCGUGUUUAUUUGUAUAGUAUUGUUGGAUUCUGCGUGCUGCUGUGUGCUGUCUUUCUCUUUCUCUCUCUCCUGUGUAAUACUGCUGCUCAACCAGGUGCGGAGGAGAGGAAAGUGAUCGCUCUCACCUGCUGCUCGUUACUGUGCAAGCUCAAAAGCUGUUCAACUUGCCUACCACACUGAAGCUUGACUUCCGUUGUGUUGUGUUGUGUUGUGUUGUGUUGUGUUGUGUUGUGUUGUGUUGUGUUGUGUUGUGUUGUGUUGUGUUGUGUUGUGUUGUGUUGUGUUGUGUUGUGUUGUGUUGUGUUGUGUUGUGUUGUCCCGUCCCGUCCCAAGUUGCAGCUUAAUGAAGCCUUUUGAAUAUGUAAGUGGAAGCUGUAGGGAGGUUUGGAGCAACCUGAGGAUUUCAGCUCUUCCUGAUGCUCUGACGCUCGUCUUCACUUCUGAACUGAUGGGAAUCUUCCAGCAUUUAUUGCUGAACUGCAGUGGGAGGAGCUUCACUGAUGAUGAGUUCUAUAGUGGGAGGAGC